UGCAAUGGAGAGAGAAGCAGAGUAUUUUACUGCAGCAUAAUGCUGAACAGCUGUGCUUGGAGUUGAUCAUUACUCUUCAUGUUGAAAAAAAGUUCAGUCAUAGUCCAUUACUUUGGAAGGUCUUUUAGUGUAAAAGAUUUGGAGGAUAACUAACCAUAAGGAUCAGAAAAUAAUGAGGUGCUCAAAUCAAGGCCAUGAAAUUUAGACCUUCAUCAAAACACAACUUCAGUGGCAGUGGACCUCUCCUCUUCCCCGCCCCCCCCAAUUGAAAAGAUCUCUUCCAUUUUCCUCUUCUAGCCAAAGAAACAGAAAGAAUAAGAAAAUUGUAUUGUUUUCUUAUUCAUUUUACUGGUCCAUCGGCGGGCAGACAGGAAAGUGUCAAGUACAAGGAGUCAAUGAAGAAUGUCUGUCAAUCAAUCCAUCACAGAUGUGUUAAGUAUGAUGUGGUCAGAAUAACAAGUCAUCACAGCCAAAGCAGAGGAAAUGGUUUAAAAUCCAGAAACUGAUUCCUUAAGCUUGAUCUUUAUUUUCAGCUAUAUUAUGCACAUGAUUAUAGAAGCUUAAGGCUGCAAGCAUGGAAAAAUGCUAAGAGUCAUAUGCUGGGGGCAGGAAGCAGAAGAGUAGAUGUGAUGUCAGAUUUUUUUUUCUUGAAGCUAUGUUUUUCCUUUGUGCUCAGAAAGUGGAAACUGACAUCUCUUAUCAUCACUGUCCAAGAAGAAAGAACUGUUCUUGGAUUCUGCCUUGAUCACUUCUAUACAAUACUCUAUACAAUAAUCUAACAGAAGUGUCUAUAGGAAACAGACCCAUUUAAAAAAUUGGAAGAUCAGUUGAAAGCAUCCAGCUUACCUGAAACUAUAAUUAAAAACUGUUGCUUUGCAUUGAUUGGGGAAUUUAUAUUUAACUAUAGAUGUUAUGCAAGAUUGAAAAGAAUUCCUACACAGAUGUUUUACAUACAGUAAGUCAAACGUGAAUUCACUUUACACUAAGUCCUGGGAACAAAACUUGUUUUUGACUCUAUCAUGCUCUACUAAAAGUAAAAAUUUAUCAUAUUUUGAAGAAAUAUGGUGUGACAGACUAUGUAUGUGAGUCAAUUUUUAGAUUAGAUGUAUCGUCUACGUCA